CCUUUCGUAGCUUAGCGAUCAGGUUAUUGGUGCGUGAAGCCAAAGGUCCCGGGUUCGACUCCCGGCGAGGGUG
rnacentral:tRNA from 1 species